rnacentral:rRNA from 1 species
AGUUGCGAACGGGUGAGUAACGCGUAGGUAACCUGCCUGGUAGCGGGGGAUAACUAUUGGAAACGAUAGCUAAUACCGCAUAAGAGUAGAUGUUGCAUGACAUUUGCUUAAAAGGUGCAAUUGCAUCACUACCAGAUGGACCUGCGUUGUAUAAGCUAGUUGGUGGGGUAACGGCUCACCAAGGCGACGAUACAUAGCCGACCUGAGAGGGUGAUCGGCCACACUGGGACUGAGACACGGCCCAGACUCCUACGGGAGGCAGCAGUAGGGAAUCUUCGGCAAUGGACGGAAGUCUGACCGAGCAACGCCGCGCGAGUGAAGAAGGUUUUCGGAUCGUAAAGCUCUGUUGUAAGAGAAGAACGAGUGUGAGAGUGGAAAGUUCACACUGUGACGGUAUCUUACCAGAAAGGGACGGCUAACUACGUGCCAGCAGCCGCGGUAAUACGUAGGUCCCGAGCGUUGUCCGAAUUUAUUGGGCGUAAAGCGAGCGCAGGCGGUUAGAUAAGUCUGAAGUUAAAGGCUGUGGCUUAACCAUAGUACGCUUUGGAAACCGUUUAACUUGAGUGCAAGAGGGGAGAGUGGAAUUCCAUGUGUAGCGGUGAAAUGCGUAGAUAUAUGGAGGAACACCGGUGGCGAAAGCGGCUCUCUG